CAAGACUCCUACGGGAGGCAGCAGUGAGGAAUAUUGGUCAAUGGACGCAAGUCUGAACCAGCCAAGUAGCGUGCAGGAUGACGGCCCUCCGGGUUGUAAACUGCUUUUAGUUGGGAAUAAAAGGGGGCUCGUGAGCCCCGUAUUGUAUGUACCAUCAGAAAAAGGACCGGCUAAUUCCGUGCCAGCAGCCGCGGUAAUACGGGGGAUGCAAGCGUUAUCCGGAUUUAUUGGGUUUAAAGGGUGCGUAGGCUGUGAGGUAAGUCAGCGGUGAAAUGCCCCCGCUCAACGGGGUGAAGUGCCAUUGAUACUGCCUUGCUGGAAUGCGGAUGCCGUGGGAGGAAUGUGUGGUGUAGCGGUGAAAUGCAUAGAUAUCACACAGAACACCGAUUGCGAAGGCAUCUCACGAAUCCGCGAUUGACGCUGAUGCACGAAAGCGUGGGUAUCAAACAGGAUUAGAUACCCUAGUAC
rnacentral:rRNA from 1 species